GCAGCUGCAACUCGACUGCAUGAAGCCGGAAUCGCUAGUAAUCGCGGAUCAGAAUGCCGCGGUGAAUACGUUCCCGGGUCUUGUACACACCGCCCGUCACACCAUGGGAGUCGGAAAUGCCCGAAGCCGGUGGCCUAACCGAUAAGGGAGGAGCCGUCGAAGGCAGGUCUGAUGACUGGGGUGAAGUCGUAACAAGGUACC
rnacentral:rRNA from 1 species